GAGUUUGAUCAUGGCUCAGGAUGAACGCUGGCGGCGUGCCUAACACAUGCAAGUCGAACGGAGUUUAUGAGGAAGAAGCUUCGGCGGAAUUCUUAUAAACUUAGUGGCGGACGGGUGAGUAACACGUGGAGAACCUGCCUCUUACCGGGGGACAGCAGUUGGAAACGACUGAUAAUACCGCAUAAGCGCACGAGACCGCAUGGUCCUGUGUGAAAAGAUUUAUCGGUAAAGAGAUGGCUCCGCGUCUGAUUAGCCAGUUGGCGGGGUAACGGCCCACCAAAGCGACGAUCAGUAGCCGGCCUGAGAGGGUGAACGGCCACAUUGGGACUGAGACACGGCCCAGACUCCUACGGGAGGCAGCAGUGGGGGAUAUUGCACAAUGGAGGAAACUCUGAUGCAGCGACGCCGCGUGAGUGAAGAAGUAUUCGGUAUGUAAAGCUCUAUCAGCAGGGAAGAAAGACCUCGAAAGAGGGGAUGACGGUACCUGAGUAGAAGCCCGGCUAACUACGUGCCAGCC
rnacentral:rRNA from 1 species